GGCCUCCCCAGCUGCCAGGGUGGCUGCGGAGAAAACACAAUCACUGCUGGAAAGAAGAAGACAGGGCUGUUGCGCCACCAUAAAUGUUUUGAAGAGAGCAGGGUGCUGGUUAUGAGCUGAGCCAAGGCUUCGGAGGGGACGCUGGAGGACCUGCUGCAACGAAUUAAUUGGAAAUGUGCUAAAAAGAAAAAGAAAAAGCAAACCCUAAGGAAACACGAACCAUGCACCUUUUGGUUGCUUAUUGGAAAAAUAUUUUCAUUGAACAUAGUUUGGUGGAUGAAUAAAUGAAUGUAUGGAUGGCUGGAGUAUGUGCUACUGGGCUUGGAAAAAUAUGUGCUUCCCUACUGUCUGGGAUUCUGGCGCUUAGAGGAGUCAAGUCGCUGGUCCUGAGAUGGAAGAGUGGAAUUCAGAAGCCUUCAGGAUUUCUCCUUCUGGGGACUACUGGACUCAAGUAAAAGUCCAGGGCCAGCAUUUGUUCCAGUUCCAUGCCUGUUUCCUGUUCUGAAAGGAUAUAUAUAUAUAUAUAUUUUUUUUUUUUGAACACCCACAUUUUGGGGGGAUUUGCCAUGGGGUCAUGGAAGGGAAAAGGGCGCCCCCAUUGAUUUCCUUUCUUGGCUCCUCAGCAGUAACACACGUGACCUUGGAAGGAAGACGAGAGUGGACACUGGUGUCAUCUACCUUGGUCUCCUAAUUUGUGUCAUAGGGAUCGUGCCCGGCCCACAGGACGCUUGUGAAGACUGAUGGCCAAAGGAUCACGUGAGUUCCAAGCGCCUGGCCCACCCAAGCAUCUAAUAGAAAAAGACGCAUCCGUAAUAGAAAUGGGCAUAUGCUAGCCAUGCAUUACACAUGCCAUGCAUUACACAUGCCAUGCAUUACACAUGCCAUGCAUUACACAUGGGGCAAACGGGUUCAGGGAAGCUGAGACAUUUUCCUGAAAUCAGACAGAAAGUCCCUGAGUGGCCAAGCCAACUCCUGGCCGUUUUCUCCCCCUCCUCCCUCUGUUUACCACAUAAAGCACAGAGCAGCAUUGUAAACAUAAAAUGUUUGUGGUCCCAGACUUGGUAGCUCAGACCCAAAUCAAACUGACUCCUAAGGGAUGGUGCUC
rnacentral:lncRNA from 1 species